GGUGGAGUACCCCAAGUGGUAGAGUGCAAGCUUAGCAAGCAUGAGACCCCGAGUUCAAAUCUCAGCAUUGCCA
rnacentral:tRNA from 1 species